AAUAUAUGAAAUAUGAUAUGUCAAGAGCUAUGUAAUGUUUUGAACAACUAAUAGUAAAAAAAUGGAAUCUGAUUAAUGGCUUAUUUGUCCACCAUGGCCAGGGGAAUGUUAAUACUCUGAUUUGUUUAGGACCAGCUCCCAGUUUCUCAUUGAGAAACUGAGGUUAGAAUUUGUACCCCUAAAUCAUAGAGCCCUGGCAGUUAUGAUGCACAUGGAGAGGAGCGAGAGGCAGCUGUGAGCAGGUGGGGGCUCAAAAUAGGGGCAAUAUUGUACCUUAUGCUGACUUCGGGAAAUACAAAGUCUAGGAACUUACGUAGUGUUUUUCCUAGAAAUCCUUUUAGAAUGUCAGAUGCCAUAUGUCUUUUAGAUUGCUAAAAAUUGCUCUCAGUCUUUACAGAACAUAAAAAUAAGUAGAGAUCUGAGUGUUCUUUAUGAAGUAUUUGCCUAGACCAAGAUAAUGAAUAUAUUUUAUGUUUUCUUCUAGACCCUUCAUUGUUUGACUUCUUGUAUUUAGGUUGGUGAUCCAUUUCAAGUAUUUUUGUUUGUUUGUUUGUUUGAUAGGGUGUGAGGUGGGAUUCAGGUGUAUGUGUACAGAUUUAUCCACUAGAUCAUGUUUUCCCUCUGCUUAGGUAGGCAAUCUAUGUCUUUUGGUUUGUUUGUCUUUUCUUGCAGCAGCACCAUACUAUCCUAAUUUGUAUUGCUUUGUAGUAUUUUUAGAAAUCUAGUAAUAAAUUCUAAUUUUAGAAUUUAUUAAUUUUUAUAAAAAUAUUCAGGGUCUAUUUUAUAGAAUAACCUAAGGAAAAUUGACAUCUUUACAGAAUUGCAUCUUUCAAUUGAUGAACAUGAUGCAACAAUCCAUUUUCCUAGGUUGUCUUUAACUUUUCUGAAGGCGUUUUGUAGUUUAAUUGUAGAGGUCUUGAAUGCCUUUGUUUAAUUUAUUUCUAGAUACGUGGUGUGUUUUGCUUGGUAAUUUUUUUUUUUUUUAAUUUUGAAUUAGUACAUACCUUUACAAUAUCUUUUUCUUACAUCAGCUGUAUAGCUAGUGAGAUAAAUUUAACUCACUCAAAUAAUUCUCACCUGGUUUCUAAAACUUUUAUUUAUUUUUGUUGUCUUAUUUAAUGAAUAGAGGUCAUGAAAAUGAAUAUCUUUUCCUUGUUCCUGUAUGAAAGAGUAGUCAACAUCACACCAUUUAAUGUAAUGCUACUUGUAAAUUUUCAUAGAUAACUUUUAUCAAAUUAAGGGAAUUCUGUUUUGUUCCUGGAUUGUCAAAUGUUUUUAAAAAUCACAAAUUGAUAUUGGAUUAUAUCCAGUGCCUUUUCUGCAUAUAUCAGGGCCUUUAAAGAAAUCCUUAAUUCUGUUAACAAAAUGAACUAUACAUUCUUUGAUUUUCGGAUGGUAAAACAACAUGUAUUACUGGCAUAAAUUAAAUUUGUACAUUUUGGUCUAUUAGCCCUUUCAUUUUGCUAGGUUCAACAUGCUACUUUAAAAAAUCAUGUCUGUAUUUAUAUUGGUUUUUGUUUUAUGAUUUAUCAAAAAAAAAAA
rnacentral:lncRNA from 1 species